GCACAAAUGUUCCAGCUAACAUCAGAAUAGUGGAUGAAGCCCACACUAAAAUAAUGUGGUUUGGAAAGUUCAAAAGUCCCUGUCAGUUGGAGGAGUUGCUUAAACAGAAUCAGGCGAGUGAUUAUGAUUCAUGGAGUGAGGCUCCUUUACUCUGCAAAAGGAAAUCUACAAAAGUGGGUGA